rnacentral:misc_RNA from 1 species
AGGCGUCACCCAUUUCCUGGUCCGGGACUUGCUGUCCGAAUUCCAGGAGAUGUCACAGCAGGGAAUUCCUUGGAUAUUCUUCGUCAGGUUGAUGAGAUCUUCAUUCAAUCGAUCAAAGAUGCUGGAAUCUAUGAUGAAAUUUGGCAAGCUUUUGCUGUCUUCUUACCCGUGAAAACCGUUGGAGUACAAGGAGACCAAAGAACACAUUCCCAUGCUGUUGCACUAAGAGCAGUCACAAGUCAAGAUGGAAUGACAGCAGACUGGUACUACUUCGAUUUCAAGUUCCUUGACGAUGUAUCAAGAAAGAUUUGCAACAGUGUUCGUGGUGUAAAUCGAGUUCUUCUGGAUAUUACAUCAAAGCCUCCAUCAACAAUU